rnacentral:rRNA from 1 species
UACGGAGGAUCCAAGCGUUAUCCGGAUUUAUUGGGUUUAAAGGGUGCGUAGGUGGCCUGUUAAGUCAGGGGUGAAAGACGGUAGCUUAACUAUCGCAGUGCCCUUGAUACUGAUGGGCUUGAAUGAACUAGAGGUAGGCGGAAUGUGACAAGUAGCGGUGAGAUGCAUAGAUAUGUCACAGAACACCAAUUGCGAAGGCAGCUUACUAUGGUUUUAUUGACACUGAGGCACGAAAGCGUGGGGAUCAAACAGG